GCCUGAGAUUAGCUCGGUUGGUGAGAGCAUGGUGUUAAUAAUGCCAAGGUUGUAGGUUUGAUCCCCAUAUGGGCC